CGAAGUAAGCACUACAUGUUGAGAACAGUGGGUUGUGACUCCUUUCUGUACAAUUUCUUGUCUAUAAAAAUGAUUACUGACUGUGCAUAACGUGUUGAUACAAAAAACAUCUACAAGUCACUACAAGCAGUGGAGUGGUCCGCCUCCCGUGUUUUACACUAGUGGUUUGUCCCAACCAAACAGCCACUUUGCUGCUGGCUUGUUUGCAACCGGCUUCUGAAUUGAUUUCUACUCUGGGCACUUUUUGGCCUAAGUAUGAAAUCCUAUGAGAUUUUGUGGGAUUUGAGUUUUUAAAAGUAGGGCGGGGUCUAUUGUUUGGUUUGGGAGAGCAUAUGGUCGUCAAGGAAGUACAAGGCUGGCUGCUGCAGCUGCUGCUUGGAAAUUUAACCCAAAGCUGACUGUCGAGGACUACAGUAAAACUGUCAAGAAAUGGAUUCAUUAUGCGCCAGAAUGGGAGGAAGGCAUUAUGGAACCAAAGUGAUGCCAACCAGGGUCAAACUUUGGUUACCCCAACUUGUACCAUAUGUUCAUGGUACAAGUUCAUAUGGUACAAGGCUUAACCUCCUGGAUGCUGUUCUUCCAUAGACAAUUGACUGUUGUUCUGACAAUCAAAAAGGAAUCAAAUAUAUUUAAAAAUCUAUCCCUGUUUUUGUAAAUAAAAUGUUAUAUUAAUGCAAUGUCAUUUUUAGCCUUUUGUAAACAGAUUUUUGGAAAUGUGUUGAUGUAUGAUCAUUUUGAACAACAUAUACCUGUGAUACCUAUCAUCUUCCAAUAAAAUUAUGGUUAUCACCAGUGAAGAAACGUUUAGUGAUAUGUUGUGAUGUAAACCUAUCAGACCAAAUUUUUUUUUUACAUGAAUCAACAUUGAUUUCUUAGCUUUCAUUCAAUAAAAUCAACCCAAAUGUGCAUGUAGAUCCAUAUUCAGAUGAUGGUUGAAUCAACAUUGAUUCAAUAUAAAAUCAACACAAAUAUGCAUGCAGAUCCACAUUCAAAUGAUAGUUGAAUAAAUAUUUUCUAACUGAUUCAAUGUAAAAUCAAAAAGUGCACCCAGAUCCACAUUCAAAUGAUCGUUGAAUCAACCUUGAUUCAAUGUAAGAUCAACACAAAUAUGCAUGCAGAUCCACAUUCAAAUGAUGGCUGAAUCAAUGUUGAUUCCUAACCGAUUCAAUAUAAAAUACACCUAAAUGUGCAUGUUGAUCCACAUGCAGUUAAUUGUUGAAUCAACAUUGAUAUAGUGUCAGUUAUGGUUGAAACCCUAACGUUGAUUCAACAUGUAAGUCACCGACCACUUUCAAUUCCAUUUCAAUGCCAGGCUUCAACGGAGAUUCAAUGUUUCUGCCUGACAUUGUUUUAAUGUUGUUUCACUCAUAUUGUGCUAUGUGGGUAAUGUGUGUCAUGACAUACUAUUUUCUUUGAAUUUUCUAUAAAGAUGGAAAAAAUGAAACACUGCCAUAAUUCUGCCUUCUAACUCAAAAUGUCACAUGAACUGUGGGUAAUACACUUUGCCGAAGUCCGCAUGGAAGCAGACUCAGCAUAAGAGCAGAAAUAGGAUUGAAAAUGGGCGGUGCGAAGGGCAGAUGUGAACAAUUUAAGACACACUAUGAACUCAAACCCUUCAAUAUGAUCGCACAUUUGAAGGGCACAGGGGCGGAACAAGGGUAGAAGUGAGUAUUAGGAUGGGGCCCUUAACUGUAUUCUGCUGUAACCUGUCUUUGGAGGAAUCUGAAGAAAACUUUAAUUAGCAGAAAGAGAAUAAACAGCUGAAUGAUGCACCCCU